rnacentral:rRNA from 1 species
CAGCCGCCGCGGGAAUACGUAGGGUGCGAGCGUUAAUCGGAAUUACUGGGCGUAAAGCGCGCGCAGGCGGUUCGUUAAGACAGAUGUGAAAUCCCCGGGCUUAACCUGGGAACUGCAUUUGUGACUGGCGAGCUAGAGUAUGGCAGAGGGGGGUAGAAUUCCACGUGUAGCAGUGAAAUGCGUAGAGAUGUGGAGGAAUACCGAUGGCGAAGGCAGCCCCCUGGGCUAAUACUGACGCUCAUGCACGAAGGCGUGGGGAGCAAACAGGAUUAGAUACCCCAGUAGUCCCUGUCUCUUAUAC